rnacentral:rRNA from 1 species
UACGUAGGGACCAAGCGUUGUUCGGAUUUACUGGGCGUAAAGGGCGCGUAGGCGGCAUGACAAGUCACCUUGUGAAAUCUCUGGGCUUAACCAGAACGGCCAAGUGAUACUGUCGCGCUAGAGUGCGGAAGGGGCAAUCGGAAUUCUCGGUGUAGCGGUGAAAUGCGUAGAGUAUCGAGAGGAACACCUGAGGUGAAGACGGGUUGCUGGGCCGAACACUGACGCUGAGUGCGCGAAAGCCAGGGGAGCAAACGGG